rnacentral:tRNA from 1 species
AGCCCCGUAGUGUAGCGGCAAUCACGCUGCCCUCUGGAGGCAGCAACCUCGGUUCGAAUAUUGGCGCUUUGCCUUUGGCAGAACGUCAGUGAGAAAGUCCGGGCGGGGCUA